AUGCUCCGCCUCCGAGAGUGCGUCGUUUCCCAUCUCCUCUCUUCACCCUCCAACUCUGCUACCUCCCCACUCCGCCGUCUCCUCUCGGCCACUGCGUCGGCCCCCAUUUCCCCAAAUCCCUGUGGCUUCGCCGUGGAAGAGUACCUCGUCGCCACCUGCGGCCUCACCCGGGUCCAAGCCCUCAAGGCCUCCAAGAAGCUCGCCCACCUCAAGACCCCCGACAAGCCGAACGCCGUCCUCGCCUUCCUCUCCGGCCUCGGCCUCUCCGGCGCCGACGUCGCCGCCGUCGUCGGCAAAGAUCCGCUGUUACUCUGCACCAAAGUGGACCAAACACUGGCCCCUAAGGUCGUCGAGCUCACUGGCCUAGGUCUCUCGCCUCCUGAGAUCGCCCGCCUCGUCUCCCUCACCCCGGACCGCUUCCGGCGUAGAGCCAUAGUCUCCAGGCUGCACUACUUCCUGCCCCUCUUCGGCUCCUUCCACAGCUUCCUCCGGCUGCUCAAGCGCUCAUCCCGCCUUCUGUCGUCGGACCUUGAUAAGUUGGUCAAGCCCAAUGUUGCCUUCCUGAGGGAGUGCGGGCUAGGUGCUUGUGAUAUUGCCAAGCUGUGUAUCGCUGUGCCGAGGAUGCUGACCACCAACCCGGAACGCGUCCGCGCAAUGGUGGCAUGUGCUGAAAGAUUAGGUGUACCUCGUGGCGCUGGGAUGUUCAGGCAAGCGCUACGGGCUGUCGCGUUUCUCAACGAGGAGAAGAUUGCCGGCAAAGUGGACUACUUGAAGAAUACGCUCAGGUGGUCUGAUGCCGAAGCGAGCAUUGCUGUGUCUAAAGCUCCGCUGCUGCUGUGGAGGUCAAAGGACAUGCUGCAGAGCAAGUCAGAGUUCCUGGUGUCUGAGGUGGGGUUGGAACCCACGCUCAUUGCUCAUCGCCCGAUAAUGCUCACUUACAGCCUGGAGGGCCGGCUCAGGCCCCGGCACUACGUUCUAAAGUUUGUCAAGGCAAAUGGGUUGCUAGAUCGCGAUCGGAGCUACAUCUCUGCAGUCGAUUUGACCGAGAAUGUUUUUGUGGACAAGUUCGUGCGCCCUCACAUUGAAGUUGCGCCGCACCUUGNUGAAGACUAUGCGGCUGCUUGCCGAGGAGAAGUACCCAGUAGGUUCAUAUUUCAUUGA
rnacentral:rRNA from 1 species